UGAACAGCCAAAGGGGAGCUGGAACUGUCUGGGGUGUGGGAACUCUUCCAGUCUGGUCACGCUUGGGGUCUGGGAUGUGUUUGGAGUCUGGAAAUGUUUGGGGUCUGGGACACGUUUGGGAUCUGGACACAUUUGGGAUUUGGACACGUUUGGGGUCUGGGACAUGUUUGGGAUCUGGGACCUGUUUGGGGUCUGGACAUGUUUGGGGUCUGGACACAUUUGGGGUGUGGGGAAAGAUUGGGAUUUGGGACACGUUUGGGUUGUGGGUCUGGACAUGAUUGGGAUUUGGACAGGUUUGGGGUUUGGGACACGUUAGGGGUCUGGGACGUGUUUGGAAUCUGGGACAUGUUUGGGGUCUGGACAUGUUUGGGAUUUGGACACAUUUGGGAUUUGGGACAUGUUUGGAGUCUGGGACAUGUUUGGGGUGUGGACAUGUUUGGGGUGUGGACAUGUUUGGGGUCUGGACACAUUUGGGAUUUGGACACGUUUGGGAUCUCCCACUGCAGACCUUGCAGGAAUGGGGUGAUCUCUCCGCUGGGGGUGUGUGGGGUGGUGGGAACUCUUCCGUGGCCCUGCAGGAAUGGGGUGAUGGAUCUCCGUGGAAUUCUCUUCCCUGCAGCUGGCCAUGGGGAAGAUGAUGGAGCAGGGCCCAGUGCUGAUCAUCACCUUCCAGGCCCAGGUGGUGAUGGUGAUCAAGAACCACCAAGGGGAGGUGGUGGAAGGGGACCCGGACAAGGUGCUGCGGAUGCUCUACGUGUGGGCCCUGUGCCGGGACCAGGACGAGCUGAACCCCUACAUGGCCUGGAGGCUGCUGGACAUUUCCUCCUCCAGCACGGAGCAGGUGCUCUGAGCAGGGCUGGGCUGGGCCCUUCCCACCCCUCUGGAAGCAGCUCCAGCCCAGAACUCCCCACGGGGAGCAGCCCAGGCUGGGGAUUUUGGGAGAAGUGCUCCUGGUUAUCCCAAUCCCUGAGGAAUGGGAAUCCCUGCUCGGGAAUGGCUGGGACGAGCAGGUGCUGCUUUAUCCUCGUGCCUCAGGAGGCUCCUGGGAAGCCCACAGAGCUCUCAUUCCCACCUGCUGGCACCCCUGGAGAUCCUUGGAAAGGCCUUGGAGGGGUUCCUGGCUGCCAAUCUCCUGCCCAGGCUCCAGCCCCGUGUCCCUGCCGUGUCUUGCACUUUCCCAAACCAAAUACAACCAGGACUUUGCACAUGGAGGUGUUGGAUCCUCAGGUUGGUGCUGGGAUGGGGCUGAUAUUUAAAUAUCCAGCGGUGAGAUUUGUUUAUCCACAGCUUGGCAGGGGGAACGUUGUUGGUUCUGGUCACGGAGAGCCACAGCUGCAUCCCUUGGGAUGGUGGGGAAGGUGUGGGACAGGACAGGGAGUGUCUGAGGAGUGGAACUGCUUUGGGAACGCUGAAUUUUUCUGUCCCAUCCUGUCUCAUUCCCAAGAGGAAAGCUGUGCUCCUCAUCCCUGCACAGAUCCCAGGUCCAGGAGCAGAAACUUCCCCAGUUUGCUGCUGGAGCGUGGGGUAAAAUCCCCUUUCAGGCCCAAUCUGAACAAUGGGGUUUGAAAAUCCCAAAUCAUGAAAAAUUUUCCCCAAAUUCAGGUUCCUGUGGGGUUUGGGACUCUCUCCUCGAGCUUCAUGCUCCUGGGAGGAAGAGCAGGGGGGCUGUCUGAGGGGGAGCAGGAACUGUGGGAUUUGGGCUGCUGGAGGGGUUUGGGGGCCGAGGCUGCCCAUGGAAAGGAAGGUUGGGAAAAGAUUUGGAGAGGAAAUCCAAGGAUUGCUGUGGUGCUGAGGGUGAGGUAGGACAGCUCUGCCCUGCCAGUGUGAUUAAAGAGAAUAAUUCCAGUUGUUCCUCUUCUCUUGCGAGUGUCCUGAGCUUUGAACAUCCCUGGGCUGGGAUGUUUUCCUUGGAGCAUCC
rnacentral:lncRNA from 1 species